AGUCACUGCUAUUGGGGUUCGGCUAAGCCAUGCGAGCGGAGGGCGUGGUCGCAAGAUCAUGGCCCCGCACACGGCUCAGUAACACGUAGUUAACCUACCCUUGGGACGGGGACAACCUCGGGAAAGGCGAGCCACAUCUUAAACAAAAGUGUAACUACUGUAAGGUUAAAAAUGAGCUUUAUUCUUUGUUGGGUUCUUCGACGUGGAGGGUUCAUUGGUUCUGGGACUCAAGAACGACUCAACAAUGUGGUUUGCCCCCGAAACUGAGAAUAAUCCCCGAUAGGCGAGGAACGCUGGGAUGCCUCCUCGCCCAAAGUUCCGACGCCUGAGGAUGGGACUGCGGCCUAUCAGGCUGUUGGUGGUGUGACGGACCACCAAACCUACGACGGGUACGGGCGAUGGGAGUCGGAGCCCGGAGAUGGGGACUGAGACAAGGCCCCAGGCCCUACGGGGCGCAGCAGGCGCGAAAACUCCGCAAUGCGCGCAAGCGUGACGGGGGAACCCCAAGUGCCGUUGGUCUUUUGAUCGACGGUUUUUCGGAAGUCUAAGAAGCUUCCAGAAUAAGGGCUGGGUAAGGCUGGUGCCAGCCGCCGCGGUAACACCAGCAGCCCAAGUGGUGGCCGCGAUUAUUGGGCCUAAAGCGCUCGUAGCCGGAUCAGCAAGUCCUUUGUGAAAUCGGGCCGCCCAACGGUUCGGCGUGCAGAGGAUACUGUUGGUCUUGAGGCCGGGAGAGGUCGGAGGUACUCUUGGGGUAGCGGUGAAAUGCUCUAAUCCUGGGGGGACCACCAGUGGCGAAGGCGUCCGACCAGAACGGACCUGACGGUGAGGGGCGAAGGCUAGGGGAGCGAACGGGAUUAGAUACCCCGGUAGUCCUAGCUGUAAAGCAUGCGGGCCAGGUGUCUAGCGCUCCUCGAGGGCGCUAGGUGCCGGAGGGAAGCCGUUAAGCCCGCCGCCUGGGAAGUACGGCCGCAAGGCUGGAACUUAAAGAAAUUGGCGGGGGAGCACCACAAGGGGUGGAACCUGCGGUUC
rnacentral:rRNA from 1 species